GCAGAGUUAGAAACCAUCAGCAGCUCAGGAUGAAGGCUCGUCUCACUCUGAUCUGCCUCUUCUUCCUCACUCUGCAGGACGGAGAAACUCUAGGAACCUACAGAGGAAAUGAAGGAGGAAGCAUCACAGUUAGAUGUGAAUUUGGUUACUAUGGAUGGAAAAGGUUCCUUUGUAAGAAAACUUGUGAAGGAAAAAAUAUUCUCAUUGAAACAACUAAAGAUACAGAUCAGAGAGGCAGAUUCAGCAUCAGAUAUGAAGAAAGAAAUAUUUUUUCAUCUGAUUUUCUACAUGUGAGCAUCACUGAUCUGAAACCGUCAGACUCAGGACGGUACCGGUGUCGCUCCGAUGAAACCUUAGAUGGAACUCUAUACGAUAAUUUUUAUCUUGUGAUUGAAGCUUCUACCACAACUGCAACAACAACGUCAAGAAGAACAACAGCAGCAACAGCAGCAGCAACA